rnacentral:rRNA from 1 species
UACGUAGGGUGCGAGCGUUGUCCGGAAUUAUUGGGCGUAAAGAGCUCGUAGGCGGUUUGUCGCGUCUGCUGUGAAAACUCGGGGCUUAACUCCGGGCCUGCAGUGGGUACGGGCAGACUAGAGUGCGGUAGGGGAGACUGGAAUUCCUGGUGUAGCGGUGAAAUGCGCAGAUAUCAGGAGGAACACCGGUGGCGAAGGCGGGUCUCUGGGCCGUAACUGACGCUGAGGAGCGAAAGCGUGGGGAGCGAACAGGA